GGAAAACUGAGGCUUUGAUGAUGUGAAGAUAACUGGUGCCUUGAGAGGCUGAGCCACUGGACCAAAGUGUCAGAGCUGGAGCAGGUUGUCCAGGAGUGCCAAGUCCGAGCUUCUCCUGUGUGGUCCAGCCUCUGGCACAGCUGCUCGUUAGAUGUCCAAAGGCCGUAUCAUCAUGCGAGAGGCACGCAGUGAGUAGCUGGGGCCCUUGAAGUAGUGCCAGCGGAUGCCGUCCAUCUUGUACUUGUUGUCGGGAGCGUGGUAGUAGACGCCGUUGAGGUUUGACAGGCCACAGGCGUCAAACCACCACCCUGGUGGAAGAGGGAGGACAGGCGCUUGGUGGAGGUGGGAGCCCAGCCAGUGGCAAGAGGGCAGCCCCUGUGUCCCAAAGAGAACAAAGACUAAUCGGGGCUGUUGCCUCCUCUGGGAAGCCAGCUGGCUGGGGAUGGGGCUGGGUGGGAGUGGGGGUGGGGUGGACAACAGACCCUCUGCUCAGCCGGGGCCUCUAGAGGGCAGCAAGGGGCUCUGGCCACUCCUCGAGCCCCCUUGCUCCUCCCGGCCUUCUCCCUGAGCCCUUGGCGUCCCUGUCUUCCUCCCUCACUGAACCUGUCUUUCCAGCUCCCCAACCUCCCCUCAUCGCUCUGCUCACUGCUUUCUAGUGGUCUCUGUCACUCUCUCUGAGUCUCUCACUCUCCAGGUUCAUCUCUUUCUCUCUUAUGGUCUCUGUGCGUGGGUCUGUCUCUGUGUGUCCCAUUGUGUUCAUCUUUCUCUGAUGGUCUUUGUCCCUCUCUGCCUUUCGUGUCUCUGGCCCUCCCUUCCUCUGGGCCCCCAUCUUUCACAUGCUGUGUUUGUCUCCCGGCCUCUCCUUGGGCUAAGUCUUUCUCCCCCAUCUCCCUCUGUACUUCUCUGCCCCAGUAUAGCUCUCCAUCUGCUGCUCAAUGACUCUGACAGCCUUGGUGUCUCUCUCUUUCUCCAUCUGUCCUCUGUGUCUCAGAAGGUCUCUCCCCCUGUCUCUGUUCUUCUUACUUUGUCUCUGUCUCCCAUUCACCCCACUUCCUGUUCUCUGACCUCUGUGCCUACCAAGGAACACUGCCUGAGCCACAGCUGGUGUGGAGCUGCCCCUCUGCCUCCCUCUGGUCUCCUGAUCCUGGUUCGGCUUGCCUGGGGUUGGGACUGAUAGGGUAUAGGGUGCCUCCCCCCCGGGGCCCUGCACUCAGUGUUUCUUUAGCCUUGUCUCUGAGGAAAACUGGUGGUGCCAGCUUUAGGAGGAGGUGAGACCUGGAGGGGACUUCAAGGACUCAAUGGGGGAAGGCACCGAAGGGGCACAGCCAGAAAUCCCAAGAGCCAAAGAAACCUGCUCAAGUCUCAGAAUGAAUGAGGGUCAGAGCCACAUGCCAGCCUAGUGUGGCCUGACUUGGGAGUCUACGUGCAUUUUGUUCCCCAGCUGAUGAUGAUCUGGCAACCCCAGCCCCAUCGCACCUCCUCACAUUCACCCACCUCUUCCAAGAAGCCUUCCCUGACUACACCAGCCCCCAUGGAUCUGGGCUCCAGGGCACCCCAGCUCUGCAGCUUCGACAUCUGCUGCCAGCCAGGUGAGGAUUUCUAUUUCUUUGCCAGGCUCUGUGGCCUUGGUGGGCAUGUCCAAGCCUGCCUGGUGAUGAAGACCAUGAGAUCUGGGGGCAGAAAGCCUGGAUUCAAAUUCCAGCUCUACCACUUAGAGCUGCAUGGCCUUGGAGGAUUGGCUCACCCCACUGAGCCUCAGUUUCUUCAUCUGUUCCAGUGGUAAUGAUAGUGAAAUUAGCAGUGCUGCCCUCGUUUAUUAUUGAUUUGGUGAUGUCAGUGUGUGAAGUGUGCAGAGCAGUGUCACGGGGUGAGUGCUCAACAUUCAGUGCUUGUUAUUAUUUGGCCCUUGGCAGAUGGCUGGGCCUGGUUGGAGAGAAUGCGGGGUGUUUGUAUGGCAGGGUUGGGGGAGGCUGCACUGGCAGCUGAAGUAGGGAGCCAAUUUGGGAGCAAUUAAGAAGGUCCUGCUGAGGCUGGGUAGGGUGGCUCACGCCUGUAAUCCCCGCACUUUGGGAGGCUGAGGCAGGCUGAUUGCUUGAGCCCAGGAGUUCGAGAUCAGCCUGGGCAACAUAGGGAAACCCUGUUUCUAUAAAAAAUACAAAAAUUAGCUGGGCAUGGUGGUGCAUGCCUGUAAUUCCAGCUACUUGGGAGGCUGAGGUGGGAAGGUCACUGGUCACUGGAGCCUGGGAGGUCUGGGAGGUCAGGGCUGCAGUGAGCUGUGAUCAUGCCACUGCACUCCAGCCUGGGCAACAGAGUAAGCCCUGUCUCAAAAAAAAAAAAAAAAAAAAA